UGAGGAAUAUUGGUCAAUGGGCGAGAGCCUGAACCAGCCAAGUAGCGUGCAGGAUGACGGCCCUAUGGGUUGUAAACUGCUUUUAUAUGGGAAUAAAGUGAGGGACGUGUCCCUUAUUGCAUGUACCAUACGAAUAAGGACCGGCUAAUUCCGUGCCAGCAGCCGCGGUAAUACGGAAGGUCCAGGCGUUAUCCGGAUUUAUUGGGUUUAAAGGGAGCGUAGGCUGUUUGUUAAGCGUGUUGUGAAAUGUAGGAGCUCAACUUUUAGAUUGCAGCGCGAACUGGCAGACUUGAGUGCGCACAACGUAGGCGGAAUUCAUGGUGUAGCGGUGAAAUGCUUAGAUAUCAUGACGAACUCCGAUUGCGAAGGCAGCUUACGGGAGCGCAACUGACGCUAAAGCUCGAAGGUGCGGGUAUCGAACAG
rnacentral:rRNA from 1 species